UAUAAACUACGGAUUAUUUUAGGGAAGUUUAUUUUCAGACAGCGUGCAAGUAAAACCAUGGCAGGAGUUUUGUUGGCUAUCUUCGUGUACGUCUUGCUCUUUUGUGUGGCUAGUUCUCAGCAAAUUUAUUUCAACAAAAAACAUGACUGCGAGCGUAAUGAUCAGACAAUUGAAAUAUUGAACGAAAAGAUUGAGUACCUAAAACAGGAGAACGCGAGACAAAUUGAAUCAAACGCAAACCAAAUUGAGUCCUUAAAACGAGAGAAUGCGAGAAUUAACGUUAAUCAAAAGAAAAUUCGCGAAGAAUUUUACGAGAUGUUUAACAUCUUGAUGAAAAAUGUAACCAACAUCCACGGAAGUUUGAAGAAUAGUAUACUGCAAACCAUCAAGUCAGAGUUAUAUAAAGAUUGUAAGGACCUCUAUAUUCAUGGUAAUACAGAAUCGGGUGUUUAUGAGAUAUAUCCAUUUGGUAAUAACAGCAAGGUCAGCGUCUUCUGUGACAUGAUGACAGAAGGUGGAGGGUGGACAAUAAGAUCUCUUUAUCCUUCUAACCAUCCUCUUCUCUCUCUCUCUCUUUAUUUCUCUCUGUAUUAUUCUCUCUCUUUAUCAGUUUCUCUGCUCAUUUCUCUGUGACAUGGUGACAGAAGGUAAAGGGUGGACAGUAAGACCCCUAUCUCCCUUUCUCUCUUUCUCCUUCUCUCUCUCUUUCUCAAUGAUCAAUUUUAGCUUCUUUUUCUUGUAUGUGUAGUAAGAUUUCUCUCUCCCUCUUUCUCUCUCCCCCUCCCUCCGUUCCCCCUUUCUCUCUAGCUUAAUUUGUCUCUGUUUCUUUUUUUCUUUAUCUUUCUCUCACUCCCCCCUCUCUGCCUCUAUCUCUCCCCAUCUUUUUCAUCCUCUCUCCCCAUCUCCCUUUUCUCUUUCUGUCUAAUGCCCAACGAUCAAUUAAAGCCAAUAUUUCUUUAAUGAUUAAUAAAUCCUUGAUUUUAAAACUGAUAUUAAAUCUCUUUCCUGAAAUCAACAAAAAAUAUCGAUGAAUGAACAUUAAAUAAUUCUUUUCUAAUCUAAUUUACAUGAAGACAAUAAAAUUCUGACAGUAAAUAUUAUUUAUUUACAAAGUAGAAUAAAAUUUUUGCAAUAUCAUAAAUUUAAAAUAAUAUUUUUUUAAUAAGAAAAUUUUUGCACGAAGCUUUUUUUAAAAAAAGAAUUAUUACGUAAAAAUUGUUUAUAUUAAAAAAAAAACUUAAAUAGGAUUGGAAUGAUUGUUUUAAUGAAUAACCUAUUUGAAACAUUGUUCACAUUGAAACGUAGAAAAAAACCCAUUUCCCUAUUUUCUUUAAUAAACCCGACAUAAUUCAUAAAUUCUUAGGCUAUCCAGAAACGUGUGAGUGGUUCGGUGUCAUUCGACAGAACCUGGACAGACUACAAGAGGGGAUUCGGGAAUUCUAAGGGAUCCUACUGGAUAGGAAAUGACGUCAUACAACAACUUACCAGGGGAAGGAACUCCUCCCUCUACGUCUCCAUUACACUGACUAAUGGGACAAAUCUCUAUGAAUUAUACAAUCAGUUCUCUGUUGCUGAUGAAACCAACAAAUACCGACUUUUCCUUGGAGGACCAGCUACCGGGACCCUGGGUGACUCUAUGUUACACACUGGUUCUUCUUAUGGUGAUCUGUCUGGGAUGUACUUCACCACCCCGGACAGAGAUAACGACAGGGAUAAAAUUCACUGUGCUGUUGAAUACAGAUUCAGAGGAGGCUGGUGGUUCAACGCCUGUCACCGAGCCUUCCUUAACGGUCAAUGGUCCCCGGGGUCCUGGUCCGACCCAUGGUAUCCAACAUUGACUGAUAGUAAACAGAUAAAAGAGACCCUCAUGAUGAUUAAAUAUAACUGACAUUUUAUAUCUUAUAUCCAUAAUUGUUCUAUAGUUGUUCACAUAUCUUAAUUACAUUUAUUAUAAUUGAUUAUGACUUUAUUCUUGAGAUAAUGAUGGAUGGAUGAUUUAUUACAAAGUAACACAUUUUUAGAUAUGAUAUAAUGUGCAAUGUAUUUAAUGAAAACUACAAAUAUGUAUUAUGUUCUAAAAAUAAUGUUUAUACAUGUAACCUUACGUCCUAAAAAUGCAAAAAUCACAUUUAA